AUGGUCGGCAAUUUGCUAUUAAUUUUCCCCGUUUCCAAAAGCUACCUUUGCUCGUCCACCGUGCUGCUCUGCUCAAUGGCGGCCCACCAUGUCGCCUUGUCUGUUCUCAUCCUUGUCGUCCCCCUGCUCGCGCCCAGCGGCCUCGUCGCAACAGAGCCGUGGCCACUGUGCGGCGACAGCCGCGAAUACAACGACAAGAGCCAGUACCAGGCCAACCUCAACCUCGUCGCCGCCGCGCUCCCCACGAACGCCUCGGCGUCGCCCAACCUCUUCGCCACCGCCGAGGCCGGGGCCGUCCCGGAGAAGGUCACGGCUCUCGCGCUCUGCCGCGGCGACGCCAGCUCCAGGGCCUGCUCCAGCUGCCUCGUCAACGCCUUCGCCAACCUCCCGAACGUGUGCCCCGGCUCCAAGGAAGCUGUCAUCUACUACGACGCCUGCAUGCUCCGCUACUCCGACGUGCAGUUCCUCUCCGCCGACGACUCUGAGCCCCUGGGCGUGGAGCUCACCUACACGGUCCGCAACGACGCCAACGCCACGUCGGAGCCGGGCCGGUACCAGCGCGCCGUGGCCACGCUCAUGAACGCCACCGCGGACUACGCCGCGUACAACUCCACGCGCCGGUACGCCACCGGCCAAGCCGACCUCGACCGGGAGUUCCCCAAGGUGUACAGCUGGGCGCAGUGCACCCCCGACCUGACGCCCGGCCGGUGCCGGGACUGCCUCGCUCAGUUGAUCGCGCAGUUGCCGGUGCAGUUCACGGAUAGUAUCGGGGGCAGGCUUCUUGGUCCCCGAUGCAGCUUCGAGUACGAGACCAAGCCCUUCAUCAAUGGCCCGGUGAUGGUGCAGCUGCCAGCAACGUCCGCGAGCUCUGGAGCGCCGGGGCCGGCCGUGGCUCCUACAUCGGCGACAGCAGAGGGGAGAAAGUACAGUGUUCCUGGCAUGGUUCUUAUCAUUCUCUUGCCUACAAUAGCAGCCAUAAACCUCAUUGUUUGGCUCUUUUCAUGGAGGAGGAGGAGGCAGGCACUUGCAAAGGCAAAGCAACCAGAUCCAAAUUAUUCCACUGAUGAAGCAGAGGACAUGGAAAGUGUGGAGUCAAUGUUAAUUGACAUUUCAACUUUGCGGGCUGCAACCGAGGAUUUUGCAGAAAGCAACAAACUCGGCAAGGGUGGAUUUGGCCCGGUGUACAAGGGUACUCUCCUAAACGGCGAUGAGAUCGCAGUCAAGAGAAUGUCCAAGAGCUCAACACAAGGAGUGGAGGAGCUCAAGAAUGAGCUCGCCUUAGUUGCAAAGCUGAAGCACAAGAAUCUUGUUAGACUUGUCGGUGUCUGCUUGGAGCAACAAGAGAGGCUACUCAUCUAUGAGUUUGUUCCUAACCGAAGCCUCGACCUGAUCCUUUUCGACGAAGCGAAACGUCAAAAACUAGAUUGGGAAACGAGGUUCAAGAUCAUAAAUGGAGUGGCUCGAGGCCUGCAAUACCUCCAUGAAGACUCUCAGCUCAAAGUAAUCCAUCGUGACCUCAAAGCGAGCAACGUCUUGCUGGACAUGAACAUGAACCCGAAAAUCUCGGAUUUUGGCCUUGCCAAGAUUUUCGGGAGAGACCAGACCCAGGGUGUGACGAACCGCGUCAUCGGCACAUAUGGAUACAUGGCGCCAGAGUACGUGAUGCGUGGGAACUACUCGGUGAAAUCAGACGCUUUCAGCUUUGGCGUUUUGGUCCUGGAGAUCAUGACAGGAAAGAAGAACAGUGACUGCUACAACUCCCAGCAAUCUCAGGAUCUCUUGACCACAGUAUGGGAGCAUUGGGUGGCCGAAACAGUGUUGGAAGUGGUAGACCCAUGCAUGAACAAGAGCUUCUCGGAGAGUGAUGCGCUGAGGUGCAUCCAUGUCGGGCUUUUGUGCAUCCAGGGCAACCCGGCAGACCGGCCGAUGAUGUCGACGGUGGCCAUGAUGCUUGGCAGCAACACAUUCUCUCUCCCUACUCCGUCGAAGCCGGCAUUCUACACUACAAACGAUGGUGCCAAUUCGAGCACCGGGUCAAGCGUGUCGAUCCCAUCAGUGCAAGCCCGGUCAUAG
rnacentral:rRNA from 1 species